GUAAUCCGCGCAUUCGUAGAGUACACAUGUUGCUUAAAAGGAGUGCUACCUAGCUGAUCGUACGUACACGUCAGUUUUGAUAUGAUGCGGCACACUGUAAAAAACUCAACUUACAACAUGCGUGUUGAUCCAAAAAGAAUUAUAAAGUAUUGCGCACACAAGACUUAAAAGUACUAUAGAGAGAAUUUCAACAAUAAUGUCAUUUCAACAAUAACAGUUUCUAAAGAAGCUAAAUUUCUAAGAAAAGAAGCAAGAUGAUGCUAAGUAUGAAGCUAAUCAAAGUAAGAGAAAACACAGAACACUGAAGUUGAACAAGCAUUGUUCGAUGGUAAGGCCAUAACCCAAUUGCGACCAUAGAAAAUCGAUGAAUAUAAAGAAAAGUAUUUUUCAAUGCAAAAUUUCCUAAGUUAACAGAAAUAUACCGUCGAAAGUAACAUAAAAUAUCAAGAUGUAAUGUAAGGUGCUAUAGAAAUAAUUUGCUGGCAAUUUGCGAGGGAGAGAAAAGUGGGCGAUUAACCGAUCGAUUUGGCGCCGUAACGAAAGUACAAAGGAAUUUUAUUUCUCACAGAAAAAUAGUCAUUGCAUGAUGUCUUGAUCGAAGUUCGCGCAAGCGCAAUUGAUUUUUCCAAGUAGUACGUCUUCGUGUUCUUCAUUAUGAUCCGCGCAUUCGUAGCGUACACAUGUUUCUUAAAAGGAGCACUACCUGGCUGAUCGUACGUACACGUCAGUUUUGAUAUGAUGAAAAAUAGUCAUUGCAUGAUGUCUUGACCGAAGUUCGCGCAAGCGCAAUUGAUGUUUCCAAGCAUUACGUCUUCGCGUUCUUCAUUGUAGUCCGCGCAUUCGUAGAGUACACAUGUUUCUUAAAAGGAGCACUACCUGGCUGAUCGUACGUACACGUCAGUUUUGAUAUGAUGUUGUCCAUGCAAAGCAAGAACAUGAUAUUGACAAAGUCGAACGGUAAGGUAUGAAAAUCCCGGCGCACAUGUACGCAGAAGGGCGUUUAACGAGAUAUACGCGGAUAAAUGGAUCGAACGCGGAGAAGCGAGUGAUUUGGCCAACGAGGUCUUCGGAUUUGACCCUGAACAGUGAACAGUUAUUACAGGAACAGGUUGCAGUGCUUGCAGGACAUUGUGCAGUGAAUAGAACAGUGAAUAGAAACACGCAGUGAACAGCCGCGAAAAAUUAAGAUCAAAUUGAAGUGUGCGCAAUGCGUGGGGCCCCUUCGACCCACCGUCAUUGAACGCGGGAAAAUUCUGCACGAGGAUAGGAUAACUACAACCCUUCGUAGCGCCGAUACUACGCCACCCUCGACAUUUUGCAAGAGAAACUAUCGUCUCAGAAUGACUUCAGGAAUCUACCAUUAACCGGCGAUACGAUACGUUGGCAACUUGGAUCACGCAGUGUCUGAAGAUUUAUUGUGUACGUUAUUCUCACAUAUUGGCACCGUCAUAAGUCGCAAAAUCAUCAGAGAGAAGCGUGUACCCACGUACGAACUUACGUGAAUGCACGUGAAAAACAACGGUCGAAUUGAAACACAAACGCCCACGAGCGUAUAUAAUUGCGAAACGUGUGGACAUGGCAAACGCGUGAGGCCACCAAAAACCGAGGAUGAAAUUUAUUAUUACUACACUAUAAAACGUAAAAUUAUACCAGUAUCAAGGAGAUUAGUGUUCAAACAAUCGUAUUUUGGGCCAGAAUAAAGUGAUAACAGAAGAUGAUGUUUUUUGAUAAUUGAUAAUUUAAGUUGAAGAGAUUUGGAGAGAGUUUUUCUGUUAUUGAGUCAAGAAAACUCGAAUCUCACAAACUUCCACUGCUACUCGUACGUGCGAAUCCAUAGAACAGACACGUCCUAUGGCAUGUAUAUUCGUUUCUUUCGGUUGAAAGGAAGGAUUUACAAAUCGAGCGAGCCUGAAGUCUCUGUUCCAUUCAAAGGGUGUAAAGGGAAUCGCUGCGUUGUCGCGCUGUCACGAAUGUGGCGGUUGUUGAGUGGUUAAAGCGAGGCGCAAUACAACGAUAAAUCAGGCGAAUGGAAAGCUAAGGAGUCAAAUAGAAAAAGCUCGUAGAGUAGAUUUGGAAACAUGCCAGAGUAACGAGCAGUCACCGGUUGACUCCAUGGUGUUUGCGGCCUUCGUGGUGGCCUCUUCGGUUGCUUCCAUCUUCUCUGUUUUAUUUCGUUUCCUUCUUCUGCUGUCUUUUCACAAUGUGUUUCCACGCUUCGUGUUUCGUACAGCUUUCCUCAUCAAUCCUUUCUUUCCUGUUGUCUUAGGUUCUCUUGUAUUUAGCCGCUGCUAAAUACAAGAGACCUACGUACAUAUUGUAGUCAGCAAAUCGUCAUUUGCACUCUGUAAAUCGCACAGUGACUUAUAUGUAGUUAUAAAUAAUAGCCAUCGCCUUCGCGGGAUUUUAAUUUAAGUGGCCCUCCGUUUGAAUGCCUUCUUUCACUUUCUCCUUUCACGUUCGCUCUUGGUUCGAGAGAAGGUAUCCCUUUUUUUCUCUUUUAGUAAAUUCUUAGUUCCUUUUACCCGGCUACGUUUCUGUUUCGGAUGUUUGAACGUUUAAUUUUAUCGGAGGAAAUUUUAAAGUUUGUCGAAAGUCAACGUUCCUCUCAAAAUUUCGUCACUGGUGACUAAUUAUUACUAAUGAAGAAAGUUUACAGGGUUUCGUUUUCACUCACAGUGGAUACAUUCCACGAUUUGUUUGGUAUCUUGCGGCGCAAUCUGUGUCGAAAACGAGUGACAAAACAACUUUUGGCUAUCUGAUAUCAAUUUUAUGGCACCUCUCCAUAUCUCUCCUUUCUUUUUCUUUAGUGUGUCACACUAUGAGUAUCCUACUUCUCUACAUUUUCGUUUUCUAUGCUUUCUGUUGGUCGAGAACGAUUAAUGCAAAUUUUAUUGCCAGAUUCCACCAGCACGUAUCACGGCGCAAUAACUUGGUUUGUCGUUGCCGUUUGCAAGCUGUGCAUGCUGACGCGAUUAGAAUUAAUUAAUUACGCGCCCUCGAUUUUUUACAAUUUCCAUCCCUCAGGGAUAGUUUGUUGACUAAAUCCUGUAAAGAGAGGAAAACAGAGAGACUGUUAUAUUUCUAAAUAUACUAUUGUUGUGUACCUACCAUUAAUUUCUUCCAAUCUAUGCAGAAAUUUAUUAGUAUAAUUUAUUAAGUGAAUACACUGAUCGUACUGUUUAAAAUUUAUUACAAUAUUUUUAAAAUACUAAUAUUUAAUAAAAUUUAAAGUUUAUUAUAAUAAACUUAUAAGAUUUUAUAUUAUGAUUUUGUUAUUAAUAUAUUUUCAUUGUUACUAAUUAUUUGUUAUUCUUGUUUGGUUCAUCUACACAAUAGCAUUUAUAUAAUAUUUUUAUUACAUAGUAUUUAUUUUAAUUGCAAUUUUUAAUCUGUUUUCGUUCUUUUCAUAAUUUCUUUUCAUAAUAACACGUGUUACCACAAGAUUAGGUCAACGUACAUGCCGAAUUAUCAAUUGCUUGAAUUUUAGGUAAGAUGGUGAGAGUGGGUAUGAUGAUAAAUCAUCAAAUACUUCGAAACAUUUCCAAAGAAAGACAAACAUAGGACGUAGCGAGGUAGAAGUGAGCAAUUGGAAAUAUCCGAAAAUGAGGUCGUCACGAAAGUUCAGGAACCGACGAUCGAGAGUCAGGUUUGGAUCAUCGACUUUCUUCUCUGCAAACAGGUUUCAUCGAUGAGAGGGGUAUUUGACCUUGAGAACUCUGACCGUGAUCCAGAAAUUAAUGCGACUUCCUCGUCCGUUCGAAUCGACGUAAUUCUCAGUUCCAAUUACUUUCCUUACUAAUGGAUCGUUUUUGAUCUUGACGUUUUAUUAAUCAUAAAAACAAUUGCAGCGUAUUGGAUAGUAAUAAAGACAAUAAUAAAAAGGAUUACGAUUUUAAAUGUUGCACAUACUUUUGUAAUAUAAUUAUAAGAGUUAAUUACACGAGAAAGAAAAUCAUGUUAAUGGAGUAGUAGGAUAAGGCCAAUAUAAUGAAAUACUAUUACAA